AUUGAACGCUGGCGGCAGGCUUAACACAUGCAAGUCGAGCGGAGCGAUGGUGCUUGCACUAUCACUUAGCGGCGGACGGGUGAGUAAUGCUUAGGAAUCUGCCUAUUAGUGGGGGACAACAUCUCGAAAGGGAUGCUAAUACCGCAUACGUCCUACGGGAGAAAGCAGGGGAUCACUUGUGACCUUGCGCUAAUAGAUGAGCCUAAGUCGGAUUAGCUAGUUGGUGGGGUAAAGGCCUACCAAGGCGACGAUCUGUAGCGGGUCUGAGAGGAUGAUCCGCCACACUGGGACUGAGACACGGCCCAGACUCCUACGGGAGGCAGCAGUGGGGAAUAUUGGACAAUGGGGGGAACCCUGAUCCAGCCAUGCCGCGUGUGUGAAGAAGGCCUUAUGGUUGUAAAGCACUUUAAGCGAGGAGGAGGCUCUUUUGGUUAAUACCCAAGAUGAGUGGACGUUACUCGCAGAAUAAGCACCGACUAACUCUGUGCCAGCCGCCGCCGUAA
rnacentral:rRNA from 1 species